rnacentral:rRNA from 1 species
CCAAGCGUUGUCCGGAUUCAUUGGGCGUAAAGAGCUCGUAGGCGGUUCAGUUAGUCGGGUGUGAAAUCUCCGGGCUCAACCCGGAGGGGCCACCCGAUACUGCUGUGACUCGAGUCCGGUAGGGGAGUGGGGAAUUCCUGGUGUAGCGGUGAAAUGCGCAGAUAUCAGGAGGAACACCGGUGGCGAAGGCGCCACUCUGGGCCGGUACUGACGCUGAGGAGCGAAAGCGUGGGUAGCAAACAGG